UUGAGGGGAGCUGGUAGUUCCCUAGCUAGUGUAAAUAUGUGCAGCUGAUAAUUAUAGCUACUUCUGACUCCCCUGGAGGAAAAGAGCUACUUCCAGCUUUAAAUCAGGGCCUUGCAUUCGGACUGGUCAAUUGCCUGACUUGUAUUGCCUUCUGGAACACAAACAAGCUGUGCCAAGAUUUCACCAUGAUGGCAGUCAUCUGAAAUUUUGGUACCUCCCUCUGAAGGGGGAAUGGUGACCCUGAAGUAGGUGCCCUCAACAGGCAGAAUGAGUUUGCCCUUGGAAAGGCUGACUACAGAAAGAGGUGGAAAGACUGCCUUGGAAUAGACGCCUACCUAUAAAGGAGAGUUUGUAUGCCUAAGUUUUUGACUGAUGCAGGUAAUGAGGUGAAUCCCACUUUGGCUAUUUUUAGGUUCAGGCUGUGAGUUAUGCUUUCAUUUUUUUGUUUUAAUAAGAUGUUAAUCUCAAUGAAAUUGUUUGUACUUACAUCAUAUAAUCUGAAUAUUGUCCCCCAUUUUUU